rnacentral:lncRNA from 1 species
AUCUUCCUCAACUUCAUCACGAACACUGGGGCCUGAUUUUGUGGGUCACCUUUUUAAUAGCCUUGUAUUCUUAUGCUAGUAAUUUCUUAGGUACAACUCGUUGCAAGUGUGAUUUCUUAGAUGCAUGAGGAACAAACCGCCCCUGCAUGUGUCGUGCUUUUGUCAUGCAGGUGAUGAAAACUGUGUGCAACCCAGGCUCCCACGCCAUCAUCCAGCAGCCAAACUGAAGCCCACCUGCCUCCUCACUGAGUGUCAAGAUGUGCUUUUCACCCUCAAUUUCUUUUACAUGUGAAGUUCCAUUGUAUGUGGUGGAUGGCGUAAUUCUUAGACUGAGCGAGCAUCAGAAGCUAUUCCCGAUUUCAAGAGUCCAAAUGCUCAAUCUGUGCUCUGAGCUGUUUGACAGUCUGCUUGAGACUGUACUGCAAAUCAGUGGCAGUGCUGGGCAUGUACCUGAGCAGCUUUCUUCCACCUUACCUCGUUCAGAAGUCACAUUUUACAUGUUUGUAAAUGAAAUAUUUUAAGUGUCUCUGUUGAACAGUUCAGCACUGCAAGGAACUGAUCAGUUGAAAUAAAUAUCAUAGCUAUAGAAAUAGUCUGCCUUCA